CAAAAAUAAUUUGAAAUCAGAUUUUGUUAAAUAUUUAUAUAUUACAGUUACUUAAUGUUACAAAAAUACAAAACUUAGACGUCACAAACAUUGGGAAUAACUUCACAGAUUAGUAAGCAGUUCAUUAGCAACAGUUAUUCUUAGCAUUGUCGUGAUUAUUUCUAGAACUCCUCCCAUUACCAUUACAGUCGGAACGGUUGUUUCCAUUCCCAUUCACAUUCUUAGCACAAGGAUCACAACAAACACUGGGACAGGGACAAAAAUUCACAAACAUAGGCUGUCCAGGCAGUUGACUAUAGAUUAUCUGUUCUGGCAUACCCGGCAAACAGUAUGGAACGUACUGAAUAGGAUAACAGAUUGGAGGAUCUUCUGAACCCAUUUUAAUUCACUAAAAAUUUUGAAAUUAAAACCAAACUGAAGUUAAUUUUUAGAUAUUUAAAUUAUUUUGCAAAUUGUGUUUCUAUGGUUUCACAUUUUCUUUUAUCUUUCAAGUUACUAGAUUGAAAUUUUGACGUUUUUCAUAGACAGUUAUUAAUCAAAUUUUAAUUUAUCUUUUCCUCAAAAUUUCCAGUUUUUUUAAUUAGAAAUGAACUGCCCACCACCUGCUUUUGCUCCUUGUGCCCCUGCAUUGGCCAGACCUUGUUGGCAAAUACCUUAUCCCUGUCCUGCUCUUAUGGGAGACAUUAAAUAUGUCUUAAGGCCCUGCUGUCCCCCAUGUGGAGGUGUUGAAAUACCAUUACCAAAUUAUAAUCCACCAAAGUGUUAAGAAAAAAAUGUUUAUUAUUUCAUUUGAACAAAAACAACGGUACCAUUAAUUUUAUAGAAAUACACAAGGUUGUAAAUAAUUAACUGCCAGUUUAAACCAAAGAAUAUACCUAGCUAGGUUUAAACUAGUAUUGGAUUUAGUCAAGUUAUCUUAGAUAUGAAAUGGAUAUGAAUUACUGUCAGUAACCAUAGCAAUGAAGAAACUCGUUUAAAAAACAGAAAACUACACAAAACUAUCUAAUUUAACUGAAGCCUAUAUUAAUUUAAACAAAAAUGGCGGAUUGUUGUUGUCCUCUUACUGGGGUUGCCUGUGUACCAUGUACUCCGCCACCUGCGGUGGCUUGUGCACCACUUGCCCAACCUUCUACCCCUGCGACGUUAAUCUAUAUUCCCAUGGUGGUACCCUGUCCAUGCCCAUGUCCUUGUUCUUGUCCGCCAUCUCCCUGUUGCCCGAGCAGAUGUUAAUGUAAAAAAAUAGUUUAAAUCAAGUAAGGAGUAAAUAUUGUAUGUACGAUUUUACGUUUGUGAAACUACAAUGUUGUUUAUAAUCUGUAAUAAAAGCUGUUAUUUAAAGUUUA